rnacentral:rRNA from 1 species
CCCUUAGAUGUUCUGGGCCGCACGCGCGCUACACUGAUCGAUUCAACGAGUUUUAUAAUAUUUUGUUUAAAAAAUUUAUAUAUCCUUUGUCGGAAGGCAUGGGUAAUCUUUUAAAUGUCGAUCGUGAUGGGGCUAGAUUCUUGCAAUUAUUAAUCUCCAACGAGGAAUUCCUAGUAAACGCAAGUCAUCAGCUUGCAUUGAUUACGUCCCUGCCCUUUGUACACACCGCCCGUCGCUCCUACCGAUUGAGUGGUCCGGUGAGGCUUUGGGAUCUGAGCGGAAAGAGCGUUUCGCUGUUUCUGCUCGGAAAACUCAGUCGAACCUUACCAUUUAGAGGAAGGAGAAGUCGUAACA